ensembl:ncRNA Y102A5D.22 ncRNA
AAAAGGAGCUGUACGGAGCGCAUCAAUCAAGCUCAAAGGAAACGCCAUCCGAUGUCUAGACGAGAACACCACGUA